AUCAAAUGAAAUAUCUAUUUUGGCAAUAACCACACACCCCUUCCAUUCUUAUUAAAGAAGAUAGUAGAUUAGUUUAUCUUUCCAAUGCUAUGAAGAAGCCAUGUUGACCCGGAAGGAAACAAAAAAAAUAAGUAUGUAAAUUAAAUAUAUAGUUAAAUGAAUAACAUUUGAAUAAAGUAAUGUAUAAAUAGAAGAUAAGCAAAAAAUGGAAGGUUGAGUGUGUAAGAAGUUAAAACAUUAUAUAGAAGAAAUAAUUAUGUUAAAGUUUAAGUGUUGUACCUAUAUGCACUCUAGUGUCUAUAAUUAAAGUCACUGUAUGAGUUUUUUUUUUUUGCCAAGGUACAACUAUAGACUUUUCAUAGCUACCAAUGUAAUUGAAGUGAAAAGGCAACCACCCAUGUGAUGAAGUCUACAAAAUGUGUCACAAUCUCUC
rnacentral:lncRNA from 1 species